rnacentral:rRNA from 1 species
CCUGCCCCUGACUCUGGGAUAAGCCUGGGAAACUGGGUCUAAUACCGGAUAUGCACCGUGGACCGCAUGGUUCUUGGUGGAAAGAUUUUUUGGUCAGGGAUGGACUCGCGGCCUAUCAGCUUGUUGGUGAGGUAAUGGCUCACCAAGGCGACGACGGGUAGCCGGCCUGAGAGGGUGACCGGCCACACUGGGACUGAGACACGGCCCAGACUCCUACGGGAGGCAGCAGUGGGGAAUAUUGCACAAUGGGCGAAAGCCUGAUGCAGCGACGCCGCGUGAGGGAUGACGGCCUUCGGGUUGUAAACCUCUUUCAGUAGGGAAGAAGCGAAAGUGACGGUACCUGCAGAAGAAGCGCCGGCUAACUACGUGCCAGCAGCCGCGGUAAUACGUAGGGCGCAAGCGUUAUCCGGAAUUAUUGGGCGUAAAGAGCUCGUAGGCGGUUUGUCGCGUCUAUCGUGAAAGUCCGAGGCUCAACCUCGGAUCUGCGGUGGGUACGGGCAGACUAGAGUGAUGUAGGGGAGACUGGAAUUCCUGGUGUAGCGGUGAAAUGCGCAGAUAUCAGGAGGAACACCGAUGGCGAAGGCAGGUCUCUGGGCAUUAACUGACGCUGAGGAGCGAAAGCAUGGGGAGCGAACAGGAUUAGAUACCCUGGUAGUCCAUGCCGUAAACGUUGGGCACUAGGUGUGGGGGACAUUCCACGUUUUCCGCGUACGGGCAGACUAGAGUGAUGUAGGGGAGACUGGAAUUCCUGGUGUAGCGGUGAAAUGCGCAGAUAUCAGGAGGAACACCGAUGGCGAAGGCAGGUCUCUGGGCAUUAACUGACGCUGAGGAGCGAAAGCAUGGGGAGCGAACAGGAUUAGAUACCCUGGUAGUCCAUGCCGUAAACGUUGGGCACUAGGUGUGGGGGACAUUCCACGUUUUCCGCGCCGUAGCUAACGCAUUAAGUGCCCCGCCUGGGGAGUACGGCCGCAAGGCUAAAACUCAAAGGAAUUGACGGGGGCCCGCACAAGCGGCGGAGCAUGCGGAUUAAUUCGAUGCAACGCGAAGAACCUUACCAAGGCUUGACAUGUGCCAGACCGCCGUGGAAACACGGUUUCCCCUUUGGGGCUGGUUCACAGGUGGUGCAUGGUUGUCGUCAGCUCGUGUCGUGAGAUGUUGGGUUAAGUCCCGCAACGAGCGCAACCCUCGUUCCAUGUUGCCAGCACGUUAUGGUGGGGACUCAUGGGAGACUGCCGGGGUCAACUCGGAGGAAGGUGGGGACGACGUCAAAUCAUCAUGCCCCUUAUGUCUUGGGCUU